rnacentral:misc_RNA from 1 species
GCAGCGGCAGGGCCACUGUAGCAGGGCCAAGGCAGCGGCGUGCUUGGAUUGCUAGAAUUGGAGCUAUUUGUUACGCUUUAAUUUCCAUGGAAGCAAACUAGCAAAGUCUGUGGAGCAAGCGUAAGCUUUGCCUCUGCAUGGACCAACGCGCGCCGACUCGCACAUUUAAGGGUGCUUGUGGAAAAGACUCCUUGACACACUGAUGCUGACGCCUUCGACGCCCUCUGUUUACAUUAGUCACCCAAGAUAUACGCUAUCGCAUGCUUCGUUGUCGGGGCCACGAAUUCACAGCGAACAGAUAAGGUCGACCGGCAGUCAAAUUUGGAAGGAGAGAUUGACAGAAGGCCUGAAGACGGUCCGAAAUAUGGAGGCGCACGGUGUUUGCCAAGACGGAAUGCACGCCGCCGCCGAAACGGUCAGCGGUAAUUGUGGAGAGCCAUCUCGAAGCGUCACUCAUUACAUCGACGACCGCGUCCGUCAUAUCCGCGGUGUCCUCGCCCGUAGCGGCAUCAACUUCGACAGGGCCUGCACCGACGGUGCCAAUGGCGACUGCUGGCUGUCCGCAAGUUUGACUCCGUGGAACAAGCUCCUCGCACCGCUGUGCCUAGAGCUCAUCGAGUUGGAACCGUCGAAGCUUUGUCUUCGCUCCAUCAACGUCGAUGGCCGGAGCCAUCCUGGCGUGGACGCUCUGUACGACGGCGCGUACAUCUUCACGUGGCUGCCAAAGCAGCACGCGUGCGUACAAACAAUAUGUCUGGAAGAUAACGUCCUCUUCCAAAAGCCGGCGUACGCGCUCAAGCUCGCGCUUGGCGAGAGCGCCCGCUUGCGUCAUCUCAGGCUGAAAGGCGGCUACUCGACACCUUUCAGCGAGCGCGACCUGUCCGAGGGCAUGAAGGCGUUGACGGCCCUCGAGAGCUUCGAGUUCCGCAAGCUGGACAUCGCCUCCCACAAGCUCGCCAUUGACAUCGCGUUUCUUCUGCGCAGAAACGGGGACCACCUUGCCAAGGUAACUUUCGAGCGCAACAUAUUCUCGCAACGCAGCAUUUCCACCCUUCUCGCCGCGCUCGUCAAGUGCAAGGUCCUGGCCGAACUUUCGUUUGACCACAACGACAUGAACAAGGCCAAUAUCGCAGCGAUGGCCGUGGUAAUCCACUCCUGCAAGCACCUGAAGAAGCUCGCCCUUCGCUACAGCUUUGGCGGUGGAGGACACAUCGGCCCCAUCGCAGAGGCCCUGCAGUGCAAUGCGUCGAUCGUGGAGCUAAAGUUGCACGCGUGUCAGACAUCUUUGGCACCGCUCUUCAAAGUCUUGGAAACAAACACAACUAUGAGGCUAUUAGACCUGGACUCUUGCACGUUGUCCGCCGCCUCUACGACACCCCUUGCCGAAGCUCUACGCUGCAAUAAGGCCCUGCAGUCGGUAGCGCUGCAGCACUGCAGUGUGGUUGACAGUGGCGCCGUAGCGCUUGCCAGUGCAAUCGUUGAAAAUGUCGCGCUUGAAACGUUGGACCUGUUGCACAACAGGGUUAGCAUAGGAGGCGUCACAGCUUUCUGCCAGGCUCUGAGGAAGAAUCGCACUCUAAGGAGAGUCGCCAUUGGACCCUUUGGGGCUACAAAUCAGCAAAGGAGGGACUUGGCUCAUCUGCUGAACCAGUACGAGUGCUAUGGCCGCAUCACACUGUCAUGGGCCGACGUUGAUUUGGCACCUCUGACAAUAGCGUUGGCACUGGACUCUCAGUCUCCCCUGGAACUCGACCUUGGUGAAGCUUGCGAGCUCUCCAGCUCCCUAGUGUGCGCACUUUUUGAAACUCUUGCCAGCAACGCCGUGGUCAGGGUCUUAAGGUUUGAGGCACGGCACUAUGAACCUCUCAAGGCUGAAGCACUGUGCAAAGCGUUGAUCUCCAACCAGUCUAUCAAGAUACUGGAGUUGCAGAUGGGCAUCAAUUCGUUUGAAGGUUCCAUGCUUGUCGACGUAUCCAAAGCCCUGCUUGUAAACACUUCCGUGACUGAACUGAUCAUACACACACGUGAAAUUGGCCUUCGCGCUUCUAAGGCAUUUGCCAAAAUGCUGACACAGAACAGGACCCUGACGACGAUAGAGCUUUACUGCCGGCAUUUUGAAACAAAGCGACUGGAGAUGAUAUCUCGGGGAAUGAUAGAGAACAGGGUUGUCACGUCAUUCACGUUUGGCAACCCCUUGCCGAGAAAUCGUUCCACGUUCCGUCUUCACGAGGCUCUCAGGCGGAACAUGAUGCUGCUCAACAUGGCGGUGAAGUUUGUGAUGCAGACCAACGUGACAAAGUGCUGUGCCCGAGCGUUUGAGAUGCUGCACGGAACUUCUUCGUUGGUGUCGCAGAUCUCCAAGGUAUCUGGGAAGCCCGAACAAGACGUCAUGGCGGCAGUUGACGCGGCGGACAAAUACAUACAUUCGCAUUACCUGUACCUGACUGGAGUCGUCAGGUCUUCAGUGAAGUGUUACCCCAGCACGCAGACGCAGGCGGAUGCACUGAAUGAUUACUGCUGGCAAGCAAUUGCAGAGUUCCUCAAGGUUUCUGAUGUACUUGAUGAAUGACAAUCUCUUGGUGCUAUUCCACGUGCUUGGUCAAUUUAUACUGCUUUGUAUUUAUGCGUGCUAUUACUUCCGUAUGUAAAGUUGCCCAGCGAUUGUGAAAGUGCUCACUGAAAAGCCUUAUGCAAGGGACCUUUCAGUACGUUGUAUGAGUGCCAGUUCCUCAAGUUUGAGGAACAAGCAUAUUGCGAUGCUAUUAAAUUUGAAGUUAAAUGUUUUAAAUUUGAAAAACUUUUUUUCGAAUACUUUUUUUUUAGUCUGUCACCCUUUUUUAAAGCUGAACACGUACCUGAAAGCACUUGUUACAAAGCUUGUUAAUGUAAUGUAUAGUUCAGAACAGGCACUUUAUAAUUGUACUCUCCCGCCUGCACUUAUCUUGUCUGUAUGGUUACAUUUGGCUAUAAAAAGUUUUGCCAAAUGCUGUCAGUGUUCUCUGCAUGACGAGCCAUAGACUAUGGCUUGGCAGUGGUGACGUUCUGUUGUUUCUUAACGUCGGAUAUUAAGGCUCAAUUCCAAGUUGCAAUAACCCCAUUUCACUGAAGAUCUGGUGCAAAAGUAUUCUUGCGCACAAGCUUAGUUGCACUUCAAGAAGGGCGCUCUGGUCUACUCG